GGGGGGGGGGGGGGGGGUGCUUAGGGCGGGCAGGUCGGCCGGAAAGGGCCGGCUGGCGGGUUGCUCGAGUGGCGAACGGGUGAGUACCCCUUUGGUGAUCUGCCCUGCACUUCGGGCUAAGCCUGGGAACCUGGGUCUCAUCCCGGAUCGGACCCCUUUUUAGUUUGGUUGUUGGAACGUUUUUUCGGUGUAGGAUGAGCUCGCGGCCUAUCAGCUUGUUGUUGGGGUAAUGGCAUACCAAGGCGGCGACGGGUAGCCGGCCUGAGAGGGUGGACGGCCACAUUGGGACUGAGAUACGGCCCAGACUCCUACGGGAGGCAGCAGUGGGGAAUAGUGCACAAUGGGCGCAAGCCUGAUGCAGCGACGCCGCGUGGGGGAUGACGGCCUUCGGGUUGUAAACUCCUUUCGCUAGGGACGAAGCUGUUUGUGAAGGUACCUAGAUAAGAAGCACCGGCUAACUACGUG
rnacentral:rRNA from 1 species